rnacentral:rRNA from 1 species
UACGGAGGGGGCUAGCGUUGUUCGGAAUUACUGGGCGUAAAGCGCACGUAGGCGGCUUUGCAAGUUAGAGGUGAAAGCCCGGGGCUCAACUCCGGAAUUGCCUUUAAAACUGCAUCGCUAGAAUUGUGGAGAGGUAAGUGGAAUUCCGAGUGUAGAGGUGAAAUUCGUAGAUAUUCGGAAGAACACCAGUGGCGAAGGCGACUUACUGGACGACUGUUGACGCUGAGGUGCGAAAGCGUGGGGAGCAAACAGG